AUGUUGUGUUGGAAGCAAAGUUGUUUGACGGCAAUAUUCAAGGUUUUCCAGGUUUUCUCGCGGCUAGUUUGAUAUAUUUCGUGUGCAUUUGGUCAAUUGUGGUCAAAAGAAUGUGUUAUUUAAAUUAAGUGAAAAUCAUCGACAUGGAUAAACGGGAGAUCCGAACGUUUUUCCUGGAUUUUUCACUGAAGUGUCAGUUUGAUUUUCGAUGGUGACGGCAAAGCAAAAUAAGAAGAAGAGUGGAUUUCAGGCCAUGGAAUUCAGCAUGCCGAUUCUGACUGCAAUCCUUAAUAUGGGAUAUGUACAAAGUGCCUACUUCCAGUACAGGGUGAUCCGAUCGUUUGGUAUGUUCGCGGAUUUCGACGACGACGGCAAUGAAGAAAAAGGACGCAUGCGGAUCCUGAAGGCAAUUCUUAAAAAUGUGAUGCAAAGUGCCACUUCAAAUCCUUCGCCCGGGUUUUUGCAUUCCGCUGUUCGAGAAACUAAAACGACGAGCGAUCAAGUUCUCCAUGGAACGUUAAUAUUGGCUCACGAUGAGAAAUUUUCGGAUCUUAAAACGAUUCUACCACUUGCUGCCGAAUGUGAUCGUUUCUAUGCCAAAGUUCAGCGGUGUUGCACUGUGCGUUUGACGAAGGGGACCUCUUUUCGUGAUGGGUUGCGGCGAGACGGAGACACAUUGUGAAAGUUGCCCCAAACGAAACAGAUGGUCUGGUUCUCCCCAAGCUGUUGGUCGACUUUAAGAAGGAAGGCUUGAGCGAACUAACGCUUAUCCGAUUGGAGAAUAAUGUAAUGAAUAAGACUAAGGCCGGAGUGGCCUGUGCUACACAUAAAAGUCUUCUCCAUUCAGCUCGGUCCAUGGCUGCACUUCGCCAACCACGCAGUCUACGGAGGCUCCGCAAAUCGUCCUCCGCCUGAUCGAUCCACCUUGCCCGCUGUGCACCUCGCCUUCUUGUUCCCGUCGGAUCGUUGUCGAGAACCAUUUUCACCGGAUUACUGUCCGACAUUCUGGCUACGUGGAGGCUGAAGAUGGAGUGGCAUCUGAAUUGUUUUCUUUUCGCUCGGUCCAUAACUGCACGUCAUCUUCCUGAUCGUUAUUCUCAAGUCCGUCAAAGAGCGGGCGUAACCGCCUGAAGUCUAAUAAAUCAUCGACUGUACCAGUACCAGUACCAGUUCUAGAUGGCUUGCAUAUUUUAAGUGAUAGGCUGCUCACCUUUUGGCAUGCCGAUUUACCUGAUGGGCGUUCAUGUUCAGGAUUACUCGCUUCCUCCGAUCAUUACAAUUAAUUGGUUCGGAAGGACCGUUCAGGACAACAAAUCAUACGAUCAGACAUGGGCAGCUCCUUAGCAUACACUGCCAAGACUUCCAGUCGACGACCAAUGUCACCGGUUUGUGAGUGAUGGCCACCGACAUUGAAAUUCAAUCUAUGGACAUAAAAUUAAUUUUCUAUGUUUGAAUUCUGCAAAAUAGAAAAAUAAUAAAAUUAUUAUAUGUGCAACAUCAAUAAAAAUUAAGCCAU